rnacentral:rRNA from 1 species
GGGGGGACGGAGAAGGCUAUGUUGGCCGGGCGACGGUUGUCCCGGUUUAAGCGUGUAGGCUGGUUUUCCAGGCAAAUCCGGAAAAUCAAGGCUGAGGCGUGAUGACGAGGCACUACGGUGCUGAAGCAACAAAUGCCCUGCUUCCAGGAAAAGCCUCUAAGCAUCAGGUAACAUCAAAUCGUACCCCAAACCGACACAGGUGGUCAGGUAGAGAAUACCAAGGCGCUUGAGAGAACUCGGGUGAAGGAACUAGGCAAAAUGGUGCCGUAACUUCGGGAGAAGGCACGCUGAUAUGUAGGUGAAGUCCCUCGCGGAUGGAGCUGAAAUCAGUCGAAGAUACCAGCUGGCUGCAACUGUUUAUUAAAAACACAGCACUGUGCAAACACGAAAGUGGACGUAUACGGUGUGACGCCUGCCCGGUGC